GUAAGGUGGGGGGGGGGGGCAACGUGGCCGGAGGGGGAACACCUAACCCAGGUGGGAGGGGGAAACACUUAACUCAGGUGUGUAAAGUUUCAGCUGAGUAGUGACUCUGGUCGCUUUAAGGCGUAGACUUUGGUCGCUUUAAGGCGUAGACUUUGGUCGCUUUAAGGCGUAGACUUUGCUGGUUUUAAGGCGUAGACUUUGGUUGCUUUAAGGCGUAGACUUUGGUCGCUUUAAGGCGUAGACUUUGGUCGGUUUAAGGCGUAGACUUUGGUCGCUCAACUUUGGUCGCUUUAAGGCGUAGACUUUGGUCGCUUUAAGGCGUAGACUUUGGUCGGUUUAAGGCGUAGACUUUGGUCGCUUUAAGGCGUAGACUUUGGUCGCUUUAAGGCGUAGACUUUGGUCGCUUUAAGGCGUAGACUUUGCUGGUUUUAAGGCGUAGACUUUGGUCGCUUUAAGGCGUAGACUUUGGUCGCUUUAAGGCGUAGACUUUGCUGGUUUUAAGGCGUAGACUUUGGUUGCUUUAAGGCGUAGACUUUGGUCGCUUUAAGGCGUAGACUUUGGUCGCUUUAAGGCGUAGACUUUGGUCGCUUUAAGGCGUAGACUUUGGUGGUUUUAAGGCGUAGACUUUGGUCCCUUUAAGGCGUAGACUUUGGUCGCUUUAAG
ensembl:lncRNA